AUUCAAGUUAAUUUCCGAUGACGUUUUGGAAAUGAUUUCGUGGUCGUGGACACGAGUACGAAGCUUAGAGGAGUGUGGAAUUAGUUCGAACGAUUUUAUUUUGAAAACUGAACGUUUUAGGGGGGUCAAAGGAGUUGACUUUUUAUACAUUGGGAAAUUGGGAAAACUUCCUUCAUGAAAGUUGUAGAGCGCGUCGAUACGAGUUCGUGGACAUAUGGAACGUAAUAUUCGGAGUUCGUAUGAAUAAGUUACGAAUAUUUGAAAAUUGGGAUUUUCUAUAAAUAUGAAAAAAAAUCCGAAUAUUGCAAAUGAGGACAGAAUUUCUGGAACUCCAGAAAUUUCUCCCCAUUUCUCUCCCGAGCCCAGCCGCGACUCCCUCCCUUCGUCACCUUCGUUCUUCCUCAUCCGGCCACCGAUUGAUGUGAAACAAAGUGGGUUUUUCUGGUCUCGACCCCCUUUACGAGUUUGUAGAAGAAAUCGAAGUGAAAUACGAGCUGUAUGAGGCUCUACAAGGUCGAGAAGAGAGCAUCGUCGGAGACGAAAUCGCUCUUCCCCACUUUUUCUGGGCUCUACUUUGUCUGGCCAUAUCUUCCUCUACAGGCCUCCGAUCGACCUGAUUCCAAAAGCAAUUUUUCUCACCGUGAAGUUUUCUACAACUUUCCAGAAGACAUCGACUUGAGAUAACCAUCGUGGUGGCCGCUAGAAGACCGAGAAGCCGCACAGCCGAGCUGGAAAUCGUCUUCCUUCGCCACCUUGGUUCUCCCAGCUCCGGCCACUAUAGCUCGAGUUCUUUGAGGGCUUUUCUAGCCCAGAGGAAGUAGAAGCUAUCCCCAAGAAGGCUUGCAGCUAUUUGAUCCGGGGUGAUCGAAUUUUGAAGAUUGGGAAACUAGGGUUCUUCGGGUUUCAAAACUUGCGAGGUGAUUGACGGUCUCCCUUGGGUGAACGAUUUCGGUGUGUAUUGUGUUGAAUUGAAGACGCAGCGGGAAUAUCGAGGUGAGUAAAUCGCACAUGGUUCAUUCACGAACCGAAAUUCGGUGAUUUUAUUUAAUUGAGAAAUUGUGGAAAUUGUUUUACUAAAAUAAAUAUUUGUUUUAAAUUAUAUGGACUUGAUCGACUACGGUCCAUAGGUAAGUAAAAUGUAUUUAAACUAUAAAAAUGAAUUUCUAGAUUUUAUUGCAUGUGAACUAUAGUUGGUAUUAGUGGUCACUCUUGUGUGGGUGACUACGUAUAUAUAUAUUUACGUGGAAUAUAUAUUGGAUGGUGUGAUUUACUGAGUUA